CCGUGAUUUAUUACUUGCCCUGCUGCUUCUGACAAACUAUUUGUAGGAAAAUGAGAUUUGGUCCGCGCUGGAUGGCUCCUCUGGGAGGCAGGCGUGGGGGUCGGGUGUCGGAGGCCCCGUGCGCCCCCCCACCCCCCACCAGAGCCCACGGCGCUCACGGAGCUCUUUAAGAUAAAUGAGCAAAAUUAAGAGACUCACUGGGGGAAGAAAACACUGGAUGGGAGCGAGCGAGAGCGGAUGGUACUUGGUUUCCUCCCAGAAAUGCAUCCACGUGCGCCCCACUGGGGCCUCCCCCAUCUGCUGCAGACUCCAGGGAACUUCCUCCCCUCAAAGACGAACUUCCAGCCCUGGAGCAUGUUUCUUCCUUUCCUGGGAUGUGGCGCUGAAAAGGGCAGAAACCUCUAGUAAGGCACAAGCAACAGAUUGGGGGUGGAGCAGCAGGUCUCUUUGGAGGUGGCCUGGAAGAAACCGGACAGAGAGGAUGGGAAGGGGAGAAACAGAAGAGUGUGACGAGAUCAUGAAGGAAAGAGGAGGCGUCUACUGAAUGUAAGGUAGAGCCAAAGGCAUCUAUUGAUGACUGAAGAAGAGGCAUGAAUAUGACAAAAACAGGAAGAAGCCCACAAUGAUGAUGAAAUUAGAAAGGAAGACAAGAACAACAAGGUUGUGGAAUUCAGAAGCCAUAUAGACAAGAGCUGGGAAAACGGCAAUGGAUUAAUAACAAGAAAUUAAUGGUGAAGUGGUGACGAAAAUUCUACAUUGCUUAGAAAGCAAAUAGUGAAAUGAACAUUUACAUUCUGGCAACCUCAGAAGUACAACGAACAGAGGACACCAGCCAGGUAGGGCAAAGGCCUGUGCGCCCCCUUUUGCUGUUACAUGUUUAUCAGAUGCGUGCUCUGUUUCUGUUGUAUUACAUUACUUUUCUCUUCAAUGUCUACUGAGGAAGAACAAGUAGCUCCUCAGGCAAGUCAACUGUUAACUCUGCAGUUUUUAUUUAAUCUCCCAGGAAUGUAACCCUUAACUUUAAAGAAUGUAGUGACCAUAAAACUUAUAAGGCAUGUUUCUUAAGGAAAUUGUACCUGUUUAUUUAAUCUAUCAGAUAUGAAUGUUAUAGAAAAUUAAAUUUGUCCACUUAAGCUGUAGAUGAACUUUUCACCUUUCUGAUCAGAAAUUCACCAUUUUAUAGUAUAGGUUCUGUUAUUAAUCAGAAUAUUUCAUUUAGACUCUUUCUAUCCAACUUUUUCUUAGAGGCUAUUCAAAAUAAAGGUGCUUCUAACAGUUUCAUAUCGAAAUACGAUGCAAAGCCUUGCUCUUCCAUGGUAUCCUUUGAGUGAGCCAAACUUAUUUAGCCAUUCCCCUAUAGUUAAAUAGCUAGGAUGUUUCCAACAUCUCACCUUUAAAACAAUAGUGCUAUGAAUGUCAUAAAUGUUUGUAUAUGUAAAUAUGUAGGAUAAAUCCCUAUCAGUAGAAUUUCAAAAGGUAUACGCAAUCAGUAUUUUCAUACAUAUUUAAAAUUUUCCAUCCAUACAAAGGUUGCUAACAUAUUUAUUUAAAAUUUUAAAAAUAAUUUUAUAUGCCUCUUGUAACCAGUAAUAGGAUGCAAAGUUUUUGUUUUAAGGUAACAUUGCUCCUCUUCCCCCAUUGUCUCUGUCAUCUAUAGUACUCCCUAAGGUAGUUCAUGUUAUUGCAAGGGUGUGUAUCAUCCCAAACAUAUUGCUUCCACAUACAUAUAUCAGCAUACAUAUAUAUAUAUGUAUAGCAUAUAUAUAUAUGAGCACAUAUUAAUAUAUGCCCAUGCACAUACAAGCAUGUUUUUGUUAAUUUUUACUGAAAUGGAAUCAUGCUACAUACUUAUGAACAAAUUGCUUCUUUCACCUUAUAUCACUUAUAAUUGUUAUUCUACAAAUCAGUACAUAUAAAAAAUACAUAUUUACAUAUGUAAUACUCUAUCUGUUAUAAUUUUCUGCAUGCACAUGUAUGCAUAUACAUAUAUUCAUAAACAUAAAAAUCUAAACGGGAUUUUUUUG
rnacentral:lncRNA from 1 species